rnacentral:rRNA from 1 species
AGAUUGAACGCUAGCGGGAUGCUUUACACAUGCAAGUCGAACGGCAGCGCGGACUUCGGUCUGGCGGCGAGUGGCGAACGGGUGAGUAAUAUAUCGGAACGUGCCCAGUAGCGGGGGAUAACUACGCGAAAGCGUGGCUAAUACCGCAUACGCCCUACGGGGGAAAGGGGGGAUUCUUCGAGAACCUCUCACUAGUGGAGCGGCCGAUAUCAGUA